ACAGUCAUGUUCGGUUUUACAUACUGAGCAAGAAUAUAUUUUAAGUUUUCAGUUUCGACCCUAUUUGGUCACCGAAAACUGUUCCGAACUGUAAUCUUUAUCAGAUAACUCUCGAAUUUUAUUUCUCACUCUACGGGUGUCAGAAAAAUAUGAAACUUUAAAUCUAGCCUCAUAAAAAUAUUUCUGACUUAUCCUCCAAUUUUCAUAAUUUUCUGAGACUGUGCAUUUUCUGCUAAUUUAUCUGUCCCGUUUCCAACAGAAAAUUCUAGAUCUUCUGUUUUCAUUCCGAUUUCAGCACAAGUCACUUCUGACUUAUGUUUUACUUCUAUAAAUUCAAUAAAAAUAGUUUCUCACACUAUUUUUAUUUAUUUUUUAUUUUUAUACCAAAAUACUGGUAUGUUACAAUUGUAGCUUAAUUCCCUGCUUUGGUUCAGUUCAAUACCUCAAGUUUAGCGUCCACAAGCUCUCACAUAUCAGCCGGAGAUAAUCUGAAAGUCAAUCGCAACCUUGCUGCGAACAAUCGCCAAAAUGACGUCAAAACACUUAUAUCCUUAAAUAGUAUCGUCGGAAUCUCACUUAAUCCGAUUUCUAACUGAAAUUUCUGCUUACCGUUAGUUGAAACACCUUCCAAACCAAUCCCGAA
rnacentral:lncRNA from 1 species